CCGCCCGUCAAACCACGAAAGUGCACAACACCCAAAGCCGGUGGCCUAACCUGAAAAGGAGGGAGCCGUCUAAGGUGGGGUUCAUGAUUGGGGUUAAGUCGUAACAAGGUAUCCCUACGGGAACGUGGGGAUGGAUCACCUCCUUU
rnacentral:rRNA from 1 species